UACGAAGGGGGCUAGCGUUAAUCGGAAUUACUGGGCGUAAAGCGUGCGCAGGCGGUUGUGCAAGACCGAUGUGAAAGCCCCGGGCUCAACCUGGGAAUGGCGAUGGAUACUGGCUCGCUAGAGUGCGGUAGAGGAGAGUGGAAUUCCCGGUGUAGCAGUGAAAUGCGUAGAGAUCGGGAGGAACAUCAGUUGCGAAGGCGGCUCUCUGGACCAGCACUGACACUGAGGCACGAAAGCAUGGGGAGCAAACAGG
rnacentral:rRNA from 1 species